GCCCUCAUUGCUCAAUGGUAGUGCAUUGGCUUUAAAAGCCAAAGGUCUAUGGUUCGAUCCCGUUCGGGACA
rnacentral:tRNA from 1 species